AGAAGCAUCUGGAUUUUAAAAAAUAGUUUUAUGUGUGGAUAGCUUUAGCUUUGUUCCUUGGUCAGUUUUGAGUCCAGGAUCUACCACUCCAAAAUCAAUCAUCCUGAAGACAAAUUUAACCCAGGGCUAAUCCAUAACUUUCUGACCCAUAACAAAGGAUAACUUACAAGACAGCUGGAGAAUAUACUCUGAAGAUGAAGGACUAUUACUAUUAAACUGUGAGUCUGGGAAAUAGGACUUCAGCUCUCCUCUAGGUUCAGAGUCAACAUACUAACAAUGAACACAUUUGCUGUCCACAAAAAUGGAAACAAGAGCUGGUCCCAGAAGAAAGAAAACAUGGCUGCUACAGUAGUUCACUUUUACUACAAAAUGAGAAAAAACUCCAUAGAGACUACAUAGAGUCUUCACUCCUUGUUCCAAGCAACUGUAGAAGCACAGAGGAGGUUUUCAUUAAGUGAUGAUAAAGGGUACUCUAUCUGACUGCUGAGACUCAUGGUUGUUUGAAGACUGGAAUUGUAACUGUACAAUCAGGCAAUAGUGGGGAUAAAAGGGGAACUGGGGAAUGGAGGAAGAGAAGGUCCCAUUACAUUUGUAAAAUGUCUUGCAAAACUUAUAGUGCUACACAUAUCAACUAUUAUUAUUGAAGGGCUUCUGUAUUUAGGUAGUGUCACUAAUCUUCCUGUCUGUCCUGUGAUAUGCUCAGUGUUCAAGGCUGCUAUAUAGAAAGAUCCUAAACUAGCUUUGUUUGAAAAAGUUCCACUGUUGUGAUAAAGGACAAUAGAAUGG